rnacentral:rRNA from 1 species
GAUGAACGCUAGCGGCAGGCCUAAUACAUGCAAGUCGGACGGGAUUUGGGAGCUUGCUCCUAAUGAGAGUGGCGCACGGGUGCGUAACACGUAUGUAACCUACCUUAAUCAGGGGGAUAGCCACUCGUAAGAGAGAUUAACACCGCCUAAUCUAUUUUUAUGGCAUAGUAGAAAUAUCAAAUAUUUAUAGGAUUAAGAUGGGCAUGCGGAACAUUAGCUAGUUGGUAAGUUAACGGCUUACCAAGGCUACGAUGUUUAGGGGAUCUGAGAGGAUGACCCCCCACACUGGUACUGAGACACGGACCAGACUCCUACGGGAGGCAGCAGUAAGGAAUAUUGGUCAGUGGGCGCAAGCCUGAACCAGCCAUGCCGCGUGCAGGAAGACGGCCCUAUGGGUUGUAAACUGCUUUUGUACCGGAAUAAACCCUUUUACGUGUAAGAGGCUGAAUGUACGGUAAGAAUAAGGAUCGGCUAACUCCGUGCCAGCAGCCGCAGUAA